rnacentral:rRNA from 1 species
UACGUAGGGUGCGAGCGUUAAUCGGAAUUACUGGGCGUAAAGCGUGCGCAGGCGGCUUUGCAAGACAGAUGUGAAAUCCCCGGGCUCAACCUGGGAAUUGCAUUUGGAGACUGCAAGGCUUGAAUCUCGGCAGGAGGGGGUAGAAUUCCACGUGUAGCAGUGAAAUGCGUAGAGAUGUGGAGGAACACCAAUGGCGAAGGCAAUCCCCUGGGCCUGUACUGACGCUCAUGCACGAAAGCGUGGGGAGCAAACAGGAUUAGAAACCCGGUA